UGUUUACUAGUCGUUUUGAAAGACGUGUUUGAAAGACGUGUUGUUGGGGCUUGUUUAGUGUUAUGGUUAAAAUAUUAUUUAUUUAUAUUUUAUAUUUUUUCUAAAAAUUAUUUUAUUAUUUUAAUAUAUUUAUAAAAAAAAACAAUUUGAAUGUAUUGAUUUUUUAUUUUUUUUAAGUGCAAGCUCGUUUGUGUCUUUUUAUAGUUCGGCUCAUGUGAAAAAAGAGGAAUAAGCAAUCAUAAAGAAAAAUGCUGCAAUCAUACGAGAGUGUCGAGCACACAGAAGCCCUCAUGAGAAUCCACACUGUAACAUACACAGGAAGAACGCUCGCAAAUCACCUUACUUGGCAGUGAAAAUAAACAUAGAUUUGCUUGGGGAGGAGGAGCAAAAUCGAGAGGAAGAGGAGAGGUGGAUGCUUUUCUUUAUCUAGAGAAACUCAUGGUAAAGGAGAGCUGUCAAAGAAAAUACAGAUGGAGGACAACUGUUCUUUCAUGUUCAGACAAUCAGCCAUGGACUCACGAACAGGGUUUCAAGUUGAACAGUGACAAAAUUCAAUUAUAAAGCCAAAUUGCUUGAGUUUUUUCUUCCGUCUAUAUAUACUAUUGGAGAUGCCCAGAAAGGAGAGCUGUCAAAGAAAAUACAGAUGGAGGACAACUGUUCUUUCAUGUUCAGACAAUCAGCCAUGGACUCACGAACAGAGUUUCAAGUUGAACAGUGACAAAAUUCAAUUAUAAAGCCAAAUUGCUUGAGUUUUUUCUUCUGUCUAUAUAUACUAUUGGAGAUGCCCUCAUGUUAGGUCUCUGAAAUUGCUAUUAAUGCAUAAUUAGAUUUCCGAAGCAGAUGUUUUGUUCAUGUUAAUCAUGCGCUCAGCCGCACAAUAUUUCUCACAUGGAUUA